rnacentral:rRNA from 1 species
UCUCCCAUAUGGUCGACCUGCAGGCGGCCGCGAAUUCACUAGUGAUUAGAGUUUGAUCCUGGCUCAGGACGAACGCUGGCGGCGUGCUUAACACAUGCAAGUCGAGCGGUAAGGCCCUUCGGGGUACACGAGCGGCGAACGGGUGAGUAACACGUGGGUGAUCUGCCUCGUACUUCGGGAUAAGCCUGGGAAACUGGGUCUAAUACCGGAUAUGACCACAUGCUGCAUGGUGUGUGGUGGAAAGAUUUAUCGGUGCGAGAUGGGCCCGCGGCCUAUCAGCUUGUUGGUGGGGUAAUGGCCUACCAAGGCGACGACGGGUAGCCGACCUGAGAGGGUGACCGGCCACACUGGGACUGAGACACGGCCCAAACUCCUACGGGAGGCAGCAGUGGGGAAUAUUGGACAAUGGGCGCAAGCCUGAUCCAGCCAUGCCGCGUGAGUGAUGAAGGCCCUAGGGUUGUAAAGCUCUUUUGUGUGGGAAGAUAAUGACGGUACCGCAAGAAUAAGCCCCGGCUAACUUCGUGCCAGCAGCCGCGGUAAUACGAAGGGGGCUAGCGUUGCUCGGAAUCACUGGGCGUAAAGGGUGCGUAGGCGGGUCUUUAAGUCAGGGGUGAAAUCCUGGAGCUCAACUCCAGAACUGCCUUUGAUACUGAAGAUCUUGAGUUCGGGAGAGGUGAGUGGAACUGCGAGUGUAGAGGUGAAAUUCGUAGAUAUUCGCAAGAACACCAGUGGCGAAGGCGGCUCACUGGCCCGAUACUGACGCUGAGGCACGAAAGCGUGGGGAGCAAACAGGAUUAGAUACCCUGGUAGUCAAUCGAAUUC